UACGUAGGGGGCGAGCGUUGUCCGGAUUUAUUGGGCGUAAAGAGCGUGUAGGCGGCCAGGUAGGUCUGCUGUGAAAACUCGAGGCUCAACCUCGAGACGUCGGCGGAAACCAUCUGGCUAGAGUCCGGAAGAGGAGAGUGGAAUUCCUGGUGUAGCGGUGAAAUGCGCAGAUAUGUGGAGGAACACCGAUGGCGAAGGCAGCCCCCUGGGUCAAAACUGACGCUCAUGCACGAAAGCGUGGGGAGCAAACAGG
rnacentral:rRNA from 1 species